CCUACGGGAGGCAGCAGUGAGGAAUAUUGGUCAAUGGACGGAAGUCUGAACCAGCCAUGCAGCGUGCAGGAUGACGGCCCUAUGAGUUGUAAACUGCUUUUGUACAAGGGUAAACCUGAAUACGUGUAUUCAGCUGAACGUACUGUACGAAUAAGGAUCGGCUAACUCCGUGCCAGCAGCCGCGGUAAUACGGAGGAUCCAAGCGUUAUCCGGAUUUAUGGGGUUUAAAGGGUGCGUAGGCGGAUUGCGAAGUCAGCGGUAAAAUGGCGGGGCUCAACCUAGCUCCGCCGUUGAAACUGGCGUUCUUGAGUGGGCUAGAGGUAUGCGGAAUGCGUGGUGUAGCGGUGAAAUGCAUAGAUAUCACGAAGAACUCCGAUUGCGAAGGCAGCAUACCGGCGCCCAACUGACGCUGAGGCACGAAAGCGUGGGUAUCGAACAGGAUUAGAUACCCGUGUAGUC
rnacentral:rRNA from 1 species